GACGCGCGUAGGUGGUUUGUUUAAGUUGGAGUGUGAAAGCCCCGGGCUCAACCUGGGAACUGCAUCCAAAACUGGCAAGCUAGAGUAUGGUAGAGGGUGGUGGAAUUUCCUGUGUAGCGGUGAAAUGCGUAGAUAUAGGAAGGAACACCAGUGGCGAAGGCGACCACCUGGACUGAUACUGACACUGAGGUGCGAAAGCGUGGGGAGCAAACAGGAUUAGAUACCCCUGU
rnacentral:rRNA from 1 species